rnacentral:rRNA from 1 species
GAUGAACGCUGGCGGCGUGCUUAACACAUGCAAGUCGAACGGUGAAGGCGGAGCUUGCUCUGCUGGAUCAGUGGCGAACGGGUGAGUAACACGUGAGCAAUCUGCCCCUGACUCUGGGAUAAGCGCUGGAAACGGCGUCUAAUACUGGAUACGAGCUGCGAAGGCAUCUUCAGCAGCUGGAAAGAACUUCGGUCAGGGAUGAGCUCGCGGCCUAUCAGCUUGUUGGUGAGGUAACGGCUCACCAAGGCGUCGACGGGUAGCCGGCCUGAGAGGGUGACCGGGCACACUGGGACUGCGACACGGCCCAGACUCCUACGGGAGGCAGCAGUGGGGAAUAUUGCACAAUGGGCGCAAGCCUGAUGCAGCAACGCCGCGUGAGGGACGACGGCCUUCGGGUUGUAAACCUCUUUUAGCAGGGAAGAAGCGAAAGUGACGGUACCUGCAGAAAAAGCGCCGGCUAACUACGUG